UCUGCCUGCAGCUAGACCAGGAAGAAAGGAGACUGAGCAGAGGAAAUGAAAGAGUAAAGGAGAGGAGAGAGUGGGUAGGACACAAAGCUGAGGUGACUGAAGCAGCAGGAAGUAGGCAGGGCAUGAAGAAUUGGGAUUCAAAGCCCUUGAAUUUAGUUCCCAACUUCACUUAUGGGGCAAUGCUCCAAGUCACUCAGUCACCCUGAACUUCAGCUGGAGAAGGGGAACAGGAAUAAUGCCUAUCUUCCAGGAGUGUUCUGCACAAAACUGAAGGCACAGAUGAAAAAGCACUCUGCAAAUUAAAAGAGAAGGAUGGAUAGAGAAAAGCAUCAUUACAAAAGUGAAAUGUGUGAAUUUUAUUCUGGCUUUGAACAUUGAGUAGACGAAGAAGACAAUUCCAGACGGAGGAAACUCCACAAGAAAUAUCAUGGAAAUUUGAAAGAACACAGUGGGCUUGGGAAGAGAGAUCUCAGUGGUGGAAGCACCAUCAUCCCAAGGAGACUUAGGACAUUAUUUGAAGAGAGUUUUCCCCUGAGGAAAGUGCUUCAGAGGAGAAAAUACACCAGAAAAAGACAAGGCCCUGCUCUGAGGAGUGAAGACACAAUCCAGCAGGCAGGAGGGAUGGCUAAGUUCAAAGUCUUGAGAAGUGCCCCUCAUGGACACCCCAGGGUGCCCAUCUCCAGGUUACCACCAGGUGCUUCCAAGACCAAGAUAACCAGGCAAUCAUAGUAGAUGCAUCAAUGCACCCUUGCCCAAGGGCCUAGACAAGAGGUAUUGUUUAGCUUCGCAUGAAUUUUAUCACCUUGCCUAGAACCAGCCACCAUCUGCCAGGGCUCCUGACUUUUUCUGAAAUGAAUAGACACUAAAGCCUGCUGGGGAAUUUCAUGGAAAUCAAGAUGACUCAACCCAGAGUCCAUUUCAAGGCUAGGAUGCUAGAGGACGCCAACAAAGGAGUAGGGAAGUGAAACGGAUCAGCUCACAUCCAAGCCCUUGCAUGAUCAAUCCUGCAGUAGGAGUGCUGCUCAGUUGGGACUCAUGAGAGCCCGGAAGAGGAAAAAGCAGCUCUAAGCAUAGCAAAGAAGCUGUUAUGGAAAAGACCCAAAUGUUAAAAUGGUGGACAUAGUAAAGUGAUUGGUUCUGCUUAGGGGAAUCUAGAUCCCCACAUUUUGACCUCCACUGGAGUCUCAGAAGAACAAGUGCCAGGGGGGCUUGCCACAGAGGCCAAGGCAGUGAAUGUCAGGCACAUCACAGUCCCCAAGAUGGGGAGAAGACUGAGAUGCAGGGUAACAACUGCAAUCCAUUCAUGGGAGCCAUGUUUAUCUUAAAUCAUUGACAGUGAGAUAAGGAUCAUGUCAGCCUUCAUACCUUUGAUGAUGAUCCCAGGCUGCAACAGUGACACAUAGAACUGGAUUCAGUAACUAACUACAGAUUCCAUCAACCAGGACUAGUAAAGUGAAAGGCAGAAAUUGGGAGGAGGGGUUUCUUUCUUGCUUAUAAAACUUUAUUUGGUUGUGUUGAGUAUGUGCAUGUAUGUAUGAAAUCCCAUAAAGCAGUCUUCUUAGGAACAAGCCAACAUGCCACAAUGUAGGAGAUCUUUGGAGCACUGGCCUAAAUGGCAGAGAGCUCAAGGGACUCUGCUUUGUACAAGGCAUGAUUUGUACCACCACCACUAUCCCUGUUUCAGAGCACUGUUGAAUUGUUCCAAACCUGGAUUUCUAUGUCAGCUCCCUGUCUAUAGUACUUGACUGAUAAAUGCUAGUUUCUGAAAUCUGCUUUGGUUCUAUAAUUUAUUAGACAGCUUUUUCUUCCCAUUUUAUUACUUGUUUUUACUGUCAUUGGUAUAUUAUCUCUUACAGUGAAAACAUUCAUAGGCUGAUUGAAGAGAAGAUCUGAAAUUAUUAGGCAGCAAGCAUACAAAACCCUUGCUUUAUAAAGAUAAUAUCUUAAAGGCCUAAUGUCUAUGGUUCAAAGCAGCCUGGAGAUGUUGGCUAAAUCUUCCAUCAUAGAGUCCUCAUGGGAUCUGGAAGCUCUGAUUUAUCUUCCUUCAGGCCCUAUAAGUUAGCUUUCCACAUCUGUAGGUUCCACAAUCAACCUUGGAUCAAAAACAUUUGAAA
rnacentral:lncRNA from 10 species